GUUUGGGUGCUAUGUGUCCCAACUAUAAACUGUAUGUCUCAUUGACCAAGUAUGACACACUAUUAUUGCAGCCACAACAAAAAUCUUUCUGAGGUUUUUGGAUCAUAAUUUGAGGUCACAGAUCCCAAUUACUUGCUUAUGGUCAUUGAUGGAGCCUUUGGAUCGCUGGUCGAUUCAAACUGUGGAAGGGGUUUCACAUCAUGCAAUCCAUCCAAGCUCAGUUUGUUCCGAAGAAAGAAUGAACUGCCCCAAAUCGUACAUGGAAGAAUUAAU
rnacentral:misc_RNA from 1 species